GCCCGGGUGGCGGAAUUGGUAGACGCAAGGGACUUAAAAUCCCUCGAGAUCUGAUCUCGUGCCGGUUCGAGUCCGGCCCCGGGCACCA
rnacentral:tRNA from 1 species